rnacentral:rRNA from 1 species
GACGAACGCUGGUGGCGUGCUUAACACAUGCAAGUCGAACGGAAAGGCCCUGCUUUUGUGGGGUGCUCGAGUGUCGAACGGGUGAGUAACACGUGAGUAACCUGCCCUUGACUUUGGGAUAACUUCAGGAAACUGGGGCUAAUACCGGAUAGGAGCUCCUGCUGCAUGGUGGGGGUUGGAAAGUUUCGGCGGUUGGGGAUGGACUCGCGGCUUAUCAGCUUGUUGGUGGGGUAGUGGCUUACCAAGGCUUUGACGGGUAGCCGGCCUGAGAGGGUGACCGGCCACAUUGGGACUGAGAUACGGCCCAGACUCCUACGGGAGGCAGCAGUGGGGAAUAUUGCACAAUGGGCGGAAGCCUGAUGCAGCAACGCCGCGUGCGGGAUGACGGCCUUCGGGUUGUAAACCGCUUUCGCCUGUGACGAAGCGUGAGUGACGGUAAUGGGUAAAGAAGCACCGGCUAACUACGUG